rnacentral:rRNA from 1 species
AGGACGAACGCUGGCGGCGUGCUUAACACAUGCAAGUCGAGCGGAAAGGCCCUUCGGGGUACUCGAGCGGCGAACGGGUGAGUAACACGUGAGUAAUCUGCCCCUAGCUCUGGGAUAGCUCCGGGAAACCGGGAUUAAUACCGGACACGACCACCUUAGACAUCUUUUGUGGUGGAAAGAAUUUCGGCUAGGGAUGAGCUCGCGGCCUAUCAGCUUGUUGGUGGGGUAACGCCUACCAAGGCGACGACGGGUA